rnacentral:rRNA from 1 species
GACAGAGGCCUCGAGCGUUAGGCGGAAUCACUGGGCUUAAAGCGCGUGUAGGCGGAUCGUUAAGUGCCUUGUGAAAUCCUGCGGCUCAACCGCAGAACCGCUGGGCAUACUGGCGGUCUUGGGCCACUCAGGGGUCACUGGAACAAGCGGUGGAGCGGUGAAAUGCGUAGAUAUCAAGAGGAACACCUGAGGUGAAGACGGGUUGCUGGGCUGACACUGACGCUGAGGCGCGAAAGCCAGGGGAGCAAACGGG